UUAUGGCCAUAUCAUGUUGAAAACCUGUUUUCUGUACGAUCACUGAAGUUAAGCAACAUCAAGCCUGGUCAGUACCUAGAUGGGGAACAAUUUGGGAACAACAGGUGCUGUAAG